GGGGGUAUAGCUCAGUCGGUAGAGCGGCGGUCUCCAAAACCGUAGGUCGCGAGUUCGAGUCUUGCUGCCCCCGCCA
rnacentral:tRNA from 1 species